rnacentral:rRNA from 1 species
AGCGAACGCUGGCGGCAGGCCUAACACAUGCAAGUCGAACGAACCUUUCGGGGUUAGUGGCGGACGGGUGAGUAACACGUGGGAACGUGCCUUUAGGUUCGGAAUAACUCAGGGAAACUUGUGCUAAUACCGAAUGUGCCCUUCGGGGGAAAGAUUAAUCGCCUUUAGAGCGGCCCGCGUCUGAUUAGCUAGUUGGUUGAGGUAAUGGCUCACCAAGGCGACGAUCAGUAGCUGGUCUGAGAGGAUGAUCAGCCACAUUGGGACUGAGACACGGCCCAAACUCCUACGGGAGGCAGCAGUGGGGAAUCUUGCGCAAUGGGCGAAAGCCUGACGCAGCCAUGCCGCGUGAAUGAUGAAGGUCUUAGGAAUGUAAAAUUCUUUCACCGGGGACGAUAAUGACGGUACCCGGAGAAGAAGCCCCGGCUAACUUCGUG